GGGGGCGUAAAGGUUUCGACGGGGAUUUUGAAGUACGAUAAGCGAGUAGAGGUGCGUCAUCUCUUUAAACGGCGUACGUUUUAAAAUUAAACGACAAAAACAAUUUUGAACUAGCAGCUGCUUAAUUGCUGCUCGUCUUGCUCUUGAGUACCACGGCUUGAGUAAAGGCGUCGAUUAGUGGUGAACGUUAUGAGGUUAUGUCUGUACCCUUGUAACGCAUAACAGACUACUAAAAAUUAAGGCUUGUUUGUUUGCCUUAAUUUGAGGGAAUGGGAGUAAUCCACAAUAAUAAACUACACUCGUAGAAGCUCGUAUGAAUAGGUUUUCGGACACGAGUUCGAUUCUCGUCGCCUCCACCA
rnacentral:tmRNA from 1 species